ensembl:lncRNA
GCAAUAUAAGAUGUCCAAACUGUAAUGUGUUAUGUCCAAACUGUAAUGUAAGAUGUCCAAACUGUAAUGUGUUAUGUCCAAACUGUAAUGUAAGAUGUCCACAAUGCAAUAUAAGAUGUCCAAACUUUAAUAUAAGAUGUCCACACUAUAAUGUAUUAUAUCCACACUUUAAUAUAAAAUGUCCACACUGUAAUGUAUGAUAUCCACACUUUAAUAUAAGAUGUCCACAUUGUAAUGUAUGAUGUCCACACUGUAAUGUAAGAUGUCCACACUUUAAUAUAAGAUGUCCACACUGUAAUGUAUUAUAUCUACACCUUAACAUAAGAUGUCCACACUGUAAUGUAAGAUGUCCACACUUUAAUAUAAGAUGUCCACACUGUAAUGUAUGAUAUCCACACUGUAAGGUAAGAUGUCCACACUGUAAGGUAAGAUGUCCACACUUUAAUAUAAGAUGUCCACACUGUAAUGUAUUAUAUCCACACUUUAAUAUAAGAUGUCCACACUGUAAUGUAUGAUAUCCACACUUUAAUAUAAGAUGUCCACACUGUAAUGUAUUAUAUCUAUACUUUGAUAUAAGAUGUCCAAACUGUAAUAUAAGAUGUCCGCAUUGAUGUAUUAUGUUGACACUGUAAAAUAUGAUGUUGUACAAACAACAUAAUACAAU